rnacentral:rRNA from 1 species
UACGUAGGGGGCAAGCGUUGUCCGGAUUUAUUGGGCGUAAAGAGCGUGGAGGCGGCCUUACAGGUCAGCUGUGAAAACUCGAGGCUCAACCUCGAGACGUCGGUUGAAACCGUAAGGCUAGAGUCCGGAAGAGGAGAGUGGAAUUCCCGGUGUAGCGGUGAAAUGCGCAGAUAUCGGGAAGAACACCGAUGGCGAAGGCAGGUCUCUGGGCCACUACUGACGCUGAGAAGCGAAAGCAUGGGGAGCGAACAGG